AACCUGCUGAUAGAAUUUUCAAACAACACACUUAUAUUCUGGAACCAAUUACAGGAAAUGCAAAGUAUAUUCUGGAUGAUGUCAUUCUCUGUUUAUCAAAGGAUGGAUACAAGGAUAUGUUAAAACUAGCUGAUAACUUUUCUGCCUUUAAUCAACGCUUAAAAUAUGCGCAUUUUCGUCCACAUGUUUCCGUGAAAUCUGAUCCUCGUUCUUGGUGGAAGUAUGCUUAUAGAGCUGUAUCUGACAAAGUGAAGAAGGGAAGAUUGAUUUAGGCAUUGGAUCUUCAUCAUUUGCAAAAUCACAGGGCCCAGAAUGACUCAUUGAUAGUGGAUGUUUGCCAGGUGAGUGGGAAUUAAAGUCUUCUUUCUUGAAAGCUAUAUUUCUUCUUUCCUUGAACCAUAAGCAUUUAUUUUUUCCUGUACUGGUACAAAAGUAUUUUCUUCUCUUACAAUGUUUAUAUGUUAAUGGUCAGGGUCAAUAUAAGUCGACACUGGUUUGCCCAGCAUGUGGAAAGUUUUCAAUCACUUUUGAUCCCUUCAUGUAUUUGUCGUUGCCUCUACCUUCAACUGUAACUCGGCAAAUAACCGUGACUGUGUUUUACAGCGAUGGAAGUGGUCUUCCUAUGCUAUACACUGUUAGUUUGCUAAAGCAAGGUUGCUGUAAAGAUCUUAGUGAACAACUAAGUAAUGCUUGUUGCUUGUUGCUUGAAUGCUGAUGAGAUUCUUCUGCUUGCAGAGGUUUAUGAACAUAAGAUUUUUCGAUAUUUGGAAAACCCCUCAGAGCUAUUGGCUCCAAUUAAGGAGGAUGACCACUUAUAGACUUUCUAAAAACGUCGUGGGAAGAUCUAGAGUUGAAAUAAUUCAUUGACCACAUGAAAAGUGCCCGUCAGACAGUGUUAAGGGUUGUCAGGGAAAGCUUAUCGGUACCCCUUUUGUUACUUAUUUAAAAGAGCCAAUGUUGAAGCCGCUGUUACUAGAUUGUUGUCACCUUUGAAGAGAACGCAUCCUUCAUUUAAGCUCCAGAAUGGUAAGGAAAAUGGAUUUGAAAAAGAGGUUAUUGAAGAACCAUCAAACAGCUACAAUUCUAAGAACCUGUCAAUGGAUGAUGCAGAAGUAGAGGAAAAAUCCAGCGAAGCGUUAUUUCUGUGUUGAAAGUAGUAAAUUUUAGACUCCUUGAAUACUUAAAGAAUAUUUUGUUGUUGAUGACAGUGUUGCA